UUCCACGUGAUAGUGUUUCAUUAUCUUUCUCAUAUUCUCCACUCAAGCAAUUCAAACCCGAGAGAAAGGGAGAGAUGGCAAUCAAACUUCACAAAUUGCACAGGGCAGUCACAUCGAUUUCACCUAAACUAUUUCAUCAGCUCCUCAUUAUAGUCAUGUAUCACCUUCAUCCCAUCCCUUACCCCACUAAUGACCAUGAUCUAUGACCACCUAGUUGGAGUUGUGAACUCCAUUAUCAAACACAACUCAACAACUUGGAUAUGCGCACAGUUUGCACAUAUGGUUAUUAUGCCAUGAAUAAAGAGCAUGGUGAGAAAUUGAGAUUUUUUUAACUAUAAGGGUAGAAAAAAUUCAGUCUUUCUCACAUUUGGAAUGGGCAGACUUGGAAAAAAAGAAAUUGUAGGAACCUAGGUACCAAACAAUCUGCAACGUUUUCCUUUGCUUCUGUUUCCUCAUCUCCAUCAACAUAAACGACGAUUGAAGGCUGGGCUUUAGUUUCCAUCGGAUCUCGUCCAUUCUUGUCAGUAAUCCACCCUACCCCAACAACAACCAGGGGUUUCAUCGUCGUCGAACCCAAGGGAAAAAGGUUCCACUUUACCACCGAAAACCCAUGGGCUUGCUGGAAAUCUAGAUGUCGGAAGCAAUGCAUAAUAAUAUUGACAACGGGCUUCAAUUUCGAAAUGUGAACUGUUUCUGUGGCUUGAGAGCAACCGUGAGGAUUUUGGAUAAGCGAAAUGAGAAUCGAUAUAGGCUUUACCAAUGUUGCCCAAGGGAUCAAUGUGGUUUUUUUGAAUGGUGUAUUCCAUUGAAUGUGUCAUUGUCAUAUGCGGAGGAUUUCCAGCAACUACAAAUAGAGCUAUGUGUAUUACGAGAGGAAUAUAAGGCCGUUCAUGAGACGGUCCAACCCAUUGUUGAGAUUAAAAGAAUGGUGAAGAUUACGUUUGUUGGUGCCUGCUAUGCGCAGUUGUUGCACUACUGCUCACUAUAUCAACGGUGUCAACGAAAAUGAUAUGUUGUCCACUUUGUGUUUCCUUGUUACACAUAGUUGUGUAGGAUUUUUUGACAUAGCAACCUCUUGUAUUUUGUUACUACUACCCAUAUGUAUGUUUUAAAACUGUUUGCAUA